ACUGUGUAUGAGAAUUCAACAGAGUCUGCACCCAGUGGCAGCAAAGGGUCCCCUGUAGUCCACUUCUGAUGAGGUAUUCAACUCCCUUACCAUCUUUGUGUUGAGAACUAUCAAAGCUGCUGCUGCUGCCAUGCCAAACUGCCUCCAAGGUAUGAUACUAGUGCCCUCACUGCUGUUUGAUCUGUGCUGGACUCUACCACUGUGCUGAAAUAGACCUUUUCUGCCAACCCCAUUAAUUGUCCUGGGCUGGAAAAUUGUUUUACCUUACUUUUUGUUGGCUUUGCCUCUCCAGAAUUCAACUUGAGCCAUUAUUUUGACAUUGUUUGAAAGGAAAUAUACAAGAGCUCAGGAAUAUCCUUUGGUAGUUUGGUGGAACAUGGAUUGAAGAGAGAAGAACAUUGAUAAAAAUAUGAUGUUUGUAACAAUUGAGGCAGCAGAUGGAUGACCACUUGUCAGGGAUGCUACAAAAGGGAUUCAUACUUUGGAUAGAAGAUUGAAAGAGCUGACAUUUGAAGGCUAUUUCAUUUCUAAUAUUAUAUGAUAUACCAGUUACUACAUCCCUUAGAUGUCUGGAACCAAUUUUUAUUCAUCUUCUGAAUAUUAUAUUCUCUAAAUGCCCAUCAUCUCACAUGAUAAUUUUAGGAAACUUGAACUUUGUUAGUAGCAAUGGAUUUGUCAAGAAUUGAUAUAUACAAAUCAAGUUUGAGAAGACUGCUUUCCCACCAACCAUUUCUGUUGAGAUAAUAAUUUGAGCUAAAGGAGAAAAUACCUCAUCAAAGGCAUUUAUUUUCACAAUCUCAUGAUAUUAAAUGUCAGACUCUGGAAUAAGCUUAGGGGAAUCUCCCAUAUAUUUCUAAGUAGGAAAUCAGUGUAAUUGACUGAAAAUAAAAUUCUUUAUUUAUCUUCUCCCUAGAGACUGACGUUAUAGACGACACUGAAAAUGACAUUUCCUCCUUAAACUUAUUCUGACCCUGAAUACCACUGAUCCUGAAUGUGACCACACACAAUUGCAAGGAUAAUAAUAUAGAGAUAAAUGGUUUAUGGUUCUUUCUCCUGAGGACUAGUAAUUUGUCAGCACUCUGCUCUCAUUGGGAGAAAUGCUAGAGGAAUUGAAAAGAACACUGUUCAAAUCUUCAUUUUCCCAUGUUCUAGUUAUAUAACCACAGGUAAAUCUUUUCUACUAUCUGGACCUGAGCUUCCUCAUUCACAAAAUGAGGUAAACAGACUAGUUGUCCUCUAAGGUUCAUCCAAUGCCCUUUAGCUAGACCCAUCUAAAUCUGCAGUAAAAGCUAUUUUCUUUUUUGGACUAAAUGGAAGCAGCAUACUCUGGUUUCUUAGUGGUGAUCGUCAGAGGCCAUUUAGCCCAUGGCAGUGUUAUCCAAUACAAAGAGUUCAGCAAGCUUUUGAGUGCUAAUUUAUGUAGAAUGAUAAUUAUUUAGGUGACUUGUUGAUUAAAGCUAGCUUACUCUUGUCAUUUAUAUAAGGACAUGUUUUUCCCUUGUAAAUAAACACCUUUGAUAAACUUGUAGUUCGCAGUACUUAGUAGCAGGGUAACG